CCUACGGGAGGCUGCAGUGAGGAAUAUUGGUCAAUGGCCGAGAGGCUGAACCAGCCAAGUCGCGUGAGGGAAGAAUGUCCUAUGGAUUGUAAACCUCUUUUGUCAGGGAGCAAAGUCACCCACGUGUGGGUUUUUGAGAGUACCUGAAGAAAAAGCAUCGGCUAACUCCGUGCCAGCAGCCGCGGUAAUACGGAGGAUGCGAGCGUUAUCCGGAUUUAUUGGGUUUAAAGGGUGCGUAGGCGGGUUAUCAAGUCAGCGGUAAAAUCGUGGAGCUCAACUCCAUCCAGCCGUUGAAACUGGUGGUCUUGAGUGGGCGAGAAGUAUGCGGAAUGCGUGGUGUAGCGGUGAAAUGCAUAGAUAUCACGCAGAACUCCGAUUGCGAAGGCAGCAUACCGGCGCCCGACUGACGCUGAAGCACGAAAGCGUGGGUAUCGAACAGGAUUAGAUACCCCUGUAGUC
rnacentral:rRNA from 1 species